GGCUCUAUGAUUUUCUGCCUAUGUUGCAGUAUACGCUAUUCCGAUGUACAGUAUGAGAAGAUAUUCUAUUGAAGAUGAGAGCC